GUAGUUUUUGGGAUCGUAGGCGAAAUUGGCCAGAUUGGCCAGGACCUGCUCCUUGGCCUCUGCAACCGUGUCAGGAAGGGUAAAGACAGACGGUGGAAAGAGAUUUAUUUCUUUAUUGCCUCCUGUAAAAAGGCAGAAGAAGUCGAAGCGGAGGGGAAAGAGCACAGAAGCUGAACCCCAUGAAUGAGGCAGCUGAUAUCAGGAAGAAACUGGAGGUGUAGAAGACAUAGUGGAAAUCACUGGUUAUGUCCACCAGGAG